GACGAACGCUGGCGGCGUGCUUAACACAUGCAAGUCGAACGGAAAGGCCUCAGCUUGCUGGGGUACUCGAGUGGCGAACGGGUGAGUAACACGUGGGUGAUCUGCCUUGCACUCUGGGAUAAGCUUGGGAAACUGGGACUAAUACCGGAUAUGAACUGCCUUUAGUGUGGUGGUUGGAAAGUUUUUUCGGUGCAAGAUGAGCUCGCGGCCUAUCAGCUUGUUGGUGGGGUAAUGGCCUACCAAGGCGUCGACGGGUAGCCGGCCUGAGAGGGUGUACGGCCACAUUGGGACUGAGAUACGGCCCAGACUCCUACGGGAGGCAGCAGUGGGGAAUAUUGCACAAUGGGCGGAAGCCUGAUGCAGCGACGCCGCGUGGGGGAUGACGGCCUUCGGGUUGUAAACUCCUUUCGACAGGGACGAAGCUUUUUGUGACGGUACCUGUAUAAGAAGCACCGGCUAACUACGUG
rnacentral:rRNA from 1 species